rnacentral:rRNA from 1 species
CGAAGUAGCAAUACUUAGUGGCAGACGGGUGAGUAACAUGUGGGUAUCUGCCCUUUGGCCUGGAAUAACACGAGGAAACUUGUGCUAAUACCGGAUAAGUCUUUACGGAGAAAGCUUUAUGCACCAUUGGAUGAGCCCGCACUUGAUUAGUUUGUUGGUAGGGUAAUGGCCUACCAAGACUGUGAUCAAUAGCUGAUUUGAGAGGAUGAUCAGCCACAUUGGGACUGAGACACGGCCCAAACUCCUACGGGAGGCAGCAGUGGGGAAUCUUGCACAAUGGAGGAAACUCUGAUGCAGCGAUGCCGCGUGAGUGAAGAAGGCCUUUGGGUUGUAAAGCUCUUUCGUCGGGGAAGAAAAUGACUGUACCCGAAUAAGAAGGUCCGG